AGAGAGAGACAUGCGCGCAUAUCAAUAAGCGGAGGAAAAGAAACUAACAAGGAUUCCCCUAGUAACGGCGAGUGAAGCGGGAAGAGCUCAAAUUUGAAAUCUUCAAGGUUUUACCUUGACGAAUUGUAGUUUAAAGAAGUGUUUUCUGUUGAAGUUUUGGUAAAAGUUCUUUGGAAUAGGACAUCAUAGAGGGUGAGGAUCCCGUAUUUGACCAUUAUCUCCAGCUGUGUGAUACACUUUCAAAGAGUCGGAUUGUUUGGGAAUGCAGUCCAAAAUGGGUGGUAAAUUUCAUCUAAAGCUAAAUAUUGGCGAGAGACCGAUAGCGAACAAGUACCGUGAGGGAAAGAUGAAAAGAACUUUGAAAAGAGAGUUAAACAGUACGUGAAAUUGUCAAAAGGGAAGCGUUUGACACCAGUGUUGUUUUCUCGAAAAUCAAUUAAAAAUGGACAUGGAUUUUGUGUUGUAUUGACUUUAUCAGCUUUCUGCACUUUUUUCUUGUCUUUUUUAAUGCACUUUUCGUUUAACAAGUCAACAUCAAUUUCUUUUGUUGUAAAAGGGUCAUUGGAAGGUGGCUUUCUUUUCGGAGAAAGUGUUUAUAGCCUUUGGCUUCUGCAAUCGGAGAGAUUGAGGUCUGCAGCGUAGAUCCUUCGGGGUUAGAUGCAUUUGUGCUAAGUUAUAGCCUUUCAUAGACAACUUGUUGACUAUGAUCAGUCAUGUAGCUUACUCGCUUAUGUCAUUUUACCUACGCUUAGGAUGUUGACAGCAGUAUAGACUG
rnacentral:rRNA from 1 species